rnacentral:tRNA from 1 species
AAGGUGUUAAUUUAAAAAAAAAUACGGACCUUCAAAGUCCGAAAAGAGUUAAAAACUCACACUUUG